rnacentral:rRNA from 1 species
UACGUAGGGUGCGAGCGUUGUCCGGAAUUAUUGGGCGUAAAGAGCUCGUAGGCGGUCUGUCGCGUCGGUCGUGAAAACUUGGGGCUUAACCCUGAGCUUGCGGUCGAUACGGGCAUGACUGGAGUUCGGCAGGGGAGACUGGAAUUCCUGGUGUAGCGGUGAAAUGCGCAGAUAUCGGGAGGAACACCAAUUGCGAAGGCAGCUCGCUGGGACGUUACUGACGCUGAGACGCGAAAGCGUGGGGAGCAAACAGG